rnacentral:rRNA from 1 species
UACGUAGGGUGCAAGCGUUGUCCGGAAUUAUUGGGCGUAAAGAGCUCGUAGGCGGUCUGUCGCGUCUGCUGUGAAAACUCGGGGCUUAACCCCGGGCCUGCAGUGGGUACGGGCAGACUAGAGUGCGGUAGGGGAGACUGGAAUUCCUGGUGUAGCGGUGAAAUGCGCAGAUAUCAGGAGGAACACCGGUGGCGAAGGCGGGUCUCUGGGCAGUAACUGACGCUGAGGAGCGAGAGCGUGGGGAGCGAACAGG